CAGGUCCACAGCAUGAGCUCUCAGCUGCAAGAAAACAUCCACAGAUGAAGCGCACACAAUGGGCAGAACAAAUACCGAGAGUACCUAUGGACACUAUUCUGGCUCUGUCUGCUUCAAGGUUUCAAGAGACAAUUGGUCGUCUGGAAGUAAUCACAACGAACUGGGGUUGCAUUGUACCAAAAAAAGAAAUCAGCAUCUGAAGAGGUAUAUAUUGAAUGUCACAGGUGAAGAGCUUCUAGAUUCAAAGCUAAAUCCUCCGAUUAUCAAGAUGAGUGGCAUGAUUCAUAACUGACGAGCUGAGACGCGAUGAUGCGGGAGCAGCAGGACAUCCCAUCACAGUAAAGGCAGCAGUAAACGCCCAUAACCACG